rnacentral:rRNA from 1 species
GUCCUGGCAGUAAACGCUGUGUGCAAGGUGUUGCAUCUACAAUAGGUAGGUGCAGUAUCGCAGCGAAGGCAUUAAGCACACCACCUGGGAAGUACGGUCGCAAGACUGAAACUUAAAGGAAUUGGCGGGGAGCACUACAACGGGUGCGGCGUGCGGUUUAAUCCUAUUCAACACGGAGAAUCUCACCAGAAGCGACGGCAGGAUGAAGGUCAGGCUAAAGACCUUACUUGACGAGCCGAGAGGUAGUGCAUGGCCGUCGU